AUUGAACGCUGGCGGCAUGCCUUACACAUGCAAGUCGAACGGCAGCACGGGUGCUUGCACCUGGUGGCGAGUGGCGAACGGGUGAGUAAUACAUCGGAACGUACCUUAUCGUGGGGGAUAACGCAGCGAAAGCUGUGCUAAUACCGCAUAAGCCCUGAGGGGGAAAGCGGGGGAUCGAAAGACCUCGCGCGAUUAGAGCGGCCGAUGCCUGAUUAGCUUGUUGGUGGGGUAAAAGCCCACCAAGACGACGAUCAGUAGCUGGUCUGAGAGGACGAUCAGCCACACUGGGACGGGGACACGGCCCAGACUCCUACGGGGGGCAGCAGUGGGGAAUUUUGGACAAUGGGGGCAACCCUGAUCCAGCAAUGCCGCGGGAGUGAAGAAGGCCUUCGGGUUGUAAAGCUCUUUUGUCAGGGAAGAAACACCGGCUCUAACACAGUCCGGGAAUGACGGUACCUGAAGAAUAAGCACCGGCUAACUACGUGCCAGCAGCCGCCGUAA
rnacentral:rRNA from 1 species